GAAACGCGAUAGUUAAUGUGAAUUGCAGAAUUCAGUGAAUCAUCGAGUCUUUGAACGCACAUGGCGCCCAUAGGUAUUCCUUUGGGCAUGUCUGUUUGAGCGUCAUUACAACCCUCAGCUAACCGCUGGUUUUGAACCUGAACGGGUGACACCGCGCCGGUUUUAAAGUUGUAAGCUCUGCUGGCCGCUCUGCCCAACCAGAACAUAGUAAGCACUACUUGUCCGGGUGAAGCUGAACGGUACGGCCUGAACAAAACCUACCCACUCUCAAGGUUUGACCUCAGAUCAGACAAGGAUACCCGCUGAACUUAAGC
rnacentral:misc_RNA from 1 species